UUCCAACUUUGACUUCAUCAU
rnacentral:snRNA from 1 species